UACAGAGGAGCCAAGCGUUGUCCGGAUUGACUGGGCGUAAAGCGCACGUAGGCGGCUUAGCAAGUCGGAAGUGAAAUCCCUCGGCUCAACCAAGGAAGUGCUUUCGAAACUGCUGAGCUUGAGUACUUAAGAGGAUCGCGGAAUUCCCGGUGUAGAGGUGAAAUUCGUAGAUAUCGGGAGGAACACCAGUGGCGAAGGCGGCUUGCCAGAACGCGCUCGACGGUGAGGGAUGAAAGCUGGGGGAGCAAACCGG
rnacentral:rRNA from 1 species